rnacentral:lncRNA from 1 species
UUUACAUUUCGCAUGGUUGAUUAUAUCUUUAAUAUUUUCUUUCUUAUGUUUAAUGAAACAAUCUUUAGAAAUGUUCAAACAUACUGUUCUGAUGAAUCAUCAACAAAGACAUAAAUUUCAUUUUAAAUAAAUAGAAGAUAAAGUACACAUGAAGUUGGUUGUACGUAAAUUAAAUGCAAUACUGAAGAUAAAGUUCAUUGCAUUUCAUUAUAAAGUUCAUUGCAUUUACAUAUACUAAUGUAGGGACAAAAUUUCAACAAAAAAGAUCAAAAGGGAAGCUUUCAUUUACAAAAUGGAGCCACCAUGAAAGCUUCAGUAAUGAACUUUAUUGUUCUAAACUACACUAAACUAAGGGAAAGUAGGGGAAUGAUGAGGUCGUGGGGGUCCAAGUGGAGCCUCUCAGCUAUGGCCCAAAGAAAAUGAAACAUUCGUCGAAGCUCCAUCCAGCCUUCACUAAUCAGCAGCAAGAUCCUAAAAAACAAUUCAGGUCGCUUCUCAGUCGGAUAAAAUCAAGGUUUGCGGGUUUUCGUCAUCUUGUGUGCAUGGGACAAAGAGGGUACCUUCUCCUAGUCAUUUUUUUCUCUACUUCCUUAUUGCUUAGUAAUGUAGU